UUAUUUGUGGGAUAAAUUUAUCUGGAAUGCAUCAUUCCAUUGAAUUCCAUGAAAUAUUUACCAGUUAGCAUAAAAACCUUUUUAAACCAAUUCCAUACAUUCCAAUUUUGGAAUGGAACAAAAGAACAAAUCCUUUGUAAAAUCUAUUCCUUUUAUUCCCUGCAAAAAAUGUUCAUGAAUGAAUGGGAUGAGUGGAAUU
rnacentral:lncRNA from 1 species